GCUUGGGUGGCUCAGUCGGUUGAGUGUCUGACUUCAACUCAGGUCAUGAUCUCAUGGUCUGUGAGUUCGAGCCCCACAUCAGGCU
rnacentral:tRNA from 1 species